CAAACGUCGAUUAAAAUCCAAUUCUAUAACUUUGUUUUACAAGCAUACCUAUUGGAGUUUCGUUUUUAGAUCGGAAAAUGAUGUCGAAAUCGACAGGAAGUUUUAAUUAAACAAGUUUUUGACUUAUUAGAUUCUUUUUUUUAGGUCUGAGUGAUUAAAAUUCUAGAUCACUGAUUUCAUAGUAGAAAUCUGGAAGAUGUCGUUUUAUUAUAAUUUUGUUAUAUUAUUCCUAUUUGUAAAAAUAAAUUAUAUUGUAGCUGAAAAAAAUUAUAAAAGUUUGUAUAAACAGAACUGUUGGAUCGAUCCAAGUGGUGCUAAGAAGAUACAUUUAAGGGUAAAACGGCAUGUUGAGCCAAUGACCGAAAAUGUACUGACUCAUGCUCUCAGAGAAACAAAACAGAAAAAUCCAUACGUGAAAAAGAAAGGAUUUCAUAAGAAACAAUCCUUAAAUAAAAACGUGAUGCAAACGCUGAAGAAGAAGAUCCAGUUGUUUUUAAGGAAUAAGAUAAAGAACCGAAUAAACUAUUGAAUAAAUUUU